rnacentral:tRNA from 1 species
GUCAGGAUGGCCGAGUGGUCUAAGGCGCCAGACUCAAGGUAUAAAUCCUUGCCUAUACAAAUAGGUUAAAUGGGUGUUCUGGUCCACGAAAGUGGGCGUGGGUUCAAAUCCCACUUCUGACA